AGUGAACGCUGGCGGUAGGCCUAACACAUGCAAGUCGAACGGCAGCACAGUAAGAGCUUGCUCUUACGGGUGGCGAGUGGCGGACGGGUGAGGAAUACAUCGGAAUCUACUUUUUCGUGGGGGAUAACGUAGGGACACUUACGCUAAUACCGCAUACGACCUACGGGUGAAAGCAGGGGAUCUUCGGACCUUGCGCGAUUGAAUGAGCUGAUGUCGGAUUAGCUAGUUGGCGGGGUAAAGGCCCACCAAGGCGACGAUCCGUAGCUGGUCUGAGAGGAUGAUCAGCCACACUGGAACUGAGACACGGUCCAGACUCCUACGGGAGGCAGCAGUGGGGAAUAUUGGACAAUGGGCGCAAGCCUGAUCCAGCCAUACCGCGUGAGUGAAGAAGGCCUUCGGGUUGUAAAGCCCUUUUGUUGGGAAAGAAAAGCAGCAGGUUAAUACCCCGCUGUUCUGACGGUACCCAAAGAAUAAGCACCGGCUAACUUCGUG
rnacentral:rRNA from 1 species